ACCGUAGCAUUCUGAUCUACGAUUACUAGCGAUUCCGACUUCAUGGAGUCGAGUUGCAGACUCCAAUCCGGACUAAAAACAAACUAUAUGAGGUCCGCUUGCUCUCGCGAGGUCGCUUCUCUUUGUAUACGCCAUUGUAGCACGUGUGUAGCCCUACUCGUAAGGGCCAUGAUGACUUGACGUCAUCCCCACCUUCCUCCAGUUUAUCACUGGCAGUCUCCUUUGAGUUCCCGGCCGAACCGCUGGCAACAAAGGAUAAGGGUUGCGCUCGUUGCGGGACUUAACCCAACAUUUCACAACACGAGCUGACGACAGCCAUGCAGCACCUGUCUCAGAGUUCCCGAAGGCACCAAUCCAUCUCUGGAAAGUUCUCUGGAUGUCAAGAGUAGGUAAGGUGCUUCGCGUUGCAUCGAAUAAAACCACAUGCUCCACCGCUUGUGCGGGCCCCCGUCAAUUCAUUUGAGUUUUAACCUUGCGGCCGUACUCCCCAGGCGGUCGAUUUAACGCGUUAGCUCCGGAAGCCACGCCUCAAGGGCACAACCUCCAAAUCGACAUCGUUUACAGCGUGGACUACC
rnacentral:rRNA from 1 species